AUUGAACGCUGGCGGCAUGCCUUACACAUGCAAGUCGAACGGUAACAGGUCUUCGGAUGCUGACGAGUGGCGAACGGGUGAGUAAUACAUCGGAACGUGCCUAGUAGUGGGGGAUAACUGCUCGAAAGAGCAGCUAAUACCGCAUACGACCUGAGGGUGAAAGGGGGGGUUCGCAAGACCUCUCGCUAUUGGAGCGGCCGAUAUCAGAUUAGCUAGUUGGUGGGGUAAAGGCCUACCAAGGCAACGAUCUGUAGUUGGUCUGAGAGGACGACCAACCACACUGGGAGUGAGACACGGGCCAGACUCCUACGGGGGGCAGCAGUGGGGAAUUUUGGACAAUGGGCGCAAGCCGGAUCCAGCAAUGCGGCGUGCAGGAGGAAGGACUUCGGGUUGUAAACUGCUUUUGUCAGGGAAGAAAUCUUCUGGGCUAAUACCCCGAGAGGAUGACGGUACCUGAAGAAUAAGCACCAGCUAACUACGUGCCAGCAGCCGCCGUAA
rnacentral:rRNA from 1 species